GUUUAAAAGAGAAGUUAGAUUUUUCAGGAAAGGGAGAAAAAUACAUUUAAUUCUGCUGUUCCUCUCUGUACUAGGGUAAAACACCUGUUGAAGUAAAAGACUGACAUGUUUGGACAGUGUUAACACAAACUAGGAAAUAAAAACUUUUCCUUGCAAAAUUAACCCAUCCUCAUUUGUUGUGUAGAUUACAUGCAUCAAAGUAUCAUUUAAGCCAGCUAAUUAGAUUUAACAUGCGGUUUUCCAAUAUGAGGGGGCGGGGUGGACUUUAUUACGCCAAUGAGAAUUACUAAUAUAUUUGAUGGCAUUCCGCUUCCUAAUUCUACACAUGUAAUUCAUAUCAAUUGCAUUGAGACCCUACAUAUGUGUUUAAAGCCGUAUCAAUCCUAUGCAAAGUUAGAUGCCCAAAGUGCAGUCACUGAUGUGAGUAAUCAGAAGGGCCAUUGAGUUGAGUAGAGCAUCCUCCACUUAAUUGAGUAUUGGAUUGCAGCCUAAGCCUGUUGAAAUUAAUGGGCCAACUAUCAAAAAGUCCUGGGGUUUUAAAUUUAGUUAUUUCUCAUUUCACGCCCAUUCCCAUGAGUUGCAAACAAUUAUAUACAGUGGUACCUCGGGUUACAUACGCUUCAGGUUACAGACUCUGCUAACCCAGAAAUAGUGCUUCAGGUUAAGAACUUUGCUUCAGGAUGAGAACAGAAAUUGUGCUCCGGUGGUGCAGCAGCAGCAGGAGGCCCCAUUAGCUAAAGUGGUGCUUCAUGUUAAGAACAGUUUCAGGUUAAUAACGGACCUCUGGAACGAAUUAAGUUCUUAACCCAAGGUACCACUGUAAUAGUAUGCCAAAAGAAUCACAACUUACAGCACAAUCCUAACAAUGUAUGCUCAGAAUUAAGUCCUUUUGAAUCCAGUAGAGUUUACUCUCAGUUAAGUGGAGUUAGGAUUCCAGCCUAAUUCAAGUAGACCUAUUUACCAACUGCAAAAAAAAGCUAAAUUAUAAAAUAGCAAUUGAAGAUGACAGACCAAUAGUCUGACUCAGUAUAGGUCAGUUUCCAGAGCCCUUACCCCCCCCCCCGCCCCCCAAAAAGUGAAUUCAAAAUACAUACUACUUUGCCUCCAGUGUACUUCCAUGACUUGUUUGGGAAAUGGUGAACCCAUGACGUUAGCCGCAAUUCUUUUUUUAAAAAAUUUUUUUAUUUAUCAAUUUUUCUAAAACAACAGAAAAAAAACAUUCCAAUUAAGUUUUACAUCCAAUUCCAAUCUUUGUACUUUUUGGACUUCCCUCAGCCUGUCGGAGAAUUUUUCAUAUUAUCACUAUUACUCACAUUUCUUCAGAUGUUAGCCGCAAUUCAUAUCUACCCCGUAUCCUGUUCUUUCUUAUUAAAUACUGUGUUUUGAGAAAAACGGAGUAACUUCACUGCAUUUUAAGACAGUACAGUAAUAUGUACACAGCCAUAGAUGAUGUUUUUAUGGUUUCAAAAUGUUCCCGACAAGCCUUGGCCUCAGUUCAUCAAGCUACUUGUGCAUAUCCCUGGGACGAACUCAGCAUAAUGUUCAAUGGAGUGUACAGGAGCAAAAAGUUCUGCUCAUGCAGUGGGACUCCACACCCCCCACCCUGCCUGUUCUGGGUUUUCCCUCAACCCACCAGAGCAGAUUUAGGGGGUGUGGAGGAAGGACAGGACAAAAAGGCCAGUUGUGUGAGCGGACCUUGUUCUGCUCAUGCAACAAUUUAGUUGAACCAACCCCAGAUGUAUGUGAAUAGCUCAUUUCACUUCACUCAAAAGUAUAUUAACUGCUCAAAAAUAAAGCACCCUGCAACAGAGAAGCAGAUAUAUACCAUUUGGGAUUUCUAUGAUACUGAUAACACUGGGAAAGUAAAUACUCUACCCAAAGUAAUUUCAUUUCACCAAAUGUAGGAUGAUUUCUAAAUUGAUUCAAGCUAAACAUUUAGUUUAAUGACAGUAAUGUAUGAUCAAAAAUUGAUAUUUUUUGCAUAGUAUGUGUCCCACUGUUCUAAUUAGCUGAUAUGAGAAUCUUCAAAAUAUGCAGGCAUAUGUAAGGCACCUGGUUUUUGAAGAAGGAAAAGCCCCCACCAAGAAUUAAUUAAUUACGGCUCAGCAGCCCUCUGAGACAAAUAAAUGUAAAUGUUGCUUCUUCCUGCACCCCCCUUUAUAAAGCAACUGAGGCAUAGUAAGAUCUAUUUCUGGUAACAAGCCAUGAGAGGGUGUGGAUGCCUUACUAGGCAAUUACAGUGGUGCCCCGCAAGACGAACGCCUCGCAAGACGAAAAACUCGCAAGACGAAAGGUUUUUUCGUUUUCGAGUUGCUUCGCAAGACGAAUGUCCCUAUGGGCUUGCUUCGCAAGACG
rnacentral:lncRNA from 1 species